AUAGGGGAGCCGGAGGGAAACCGAGUCUUAACUGGGCGUUAAGUUGCAGGGUAUAGACCCGAAACCCGGUGAUCUAGCCAUGGGCAGGUUGAAGGUUGGGUAACACUAACUGGAGGACCGAACCGACUAAUGUUGAAAAAUUAGCGGAUGACCUGUGGCUGGGGGUGAAAGGCCAAUCAAACCGGGAGAUAGCUGGUUCUCCCCGAAAGCUAUUUAGGUAGCGCCUCGUGAACUCAUCUCCGGGGGUAGAGCACUGUUUCGGCUAGGGGGCCAUCCCGGCUUACCAACCCGAUGCAAACUGCGAAUACCGGAGAAUGUUAUCACGGGAGACACACGGCGGGUGCUAACGUCCGUCGUGAAGAGGGAAACAACCCAGACCGCCAGCUAAGGUCCCAAAGUCAUGGUUAAGUGGGAAACGAUGUGGGAAGGCCCAGACAGCCAGGAUGUUGGCUUAGAAGCAGCCAUCAUUUAAAGAAAGCGUAAUAGCUCACUGGUCGAGUCGGCCUGCGCGGAAGAUGUAACGGGGCUAAACCAUGCACCGAAGCUGCGGCAGCGAACGUAUCACCCAAGACAACUUUACGGAGUUGACGAUUGACGGAGCGAAGCGACGUCAAAGCGUUCAUUAAAGUCGAGUUGGCUUAGGGAUACGUUCGUUGGGUAGGGGAGCGUUCUGUAAGCCUGUGAAGGUGGCCUGUGAGGGUUGCUGGAGGUAUCAGAAGUGCGAAUGCUGACAUAAGUAACGAUAAAGCGGGUGAAAAGCCCGCUCGCCGGAAGACCAAGGGUUCCUGUCCAACGUUAAUCGGGGCAGGGUGAGUCGACCCCUAAGGCGAGGCCGAAAGGCGUAGUCGAUGGGAAACGGGUUAAUAUUCCCGUACUUGGUGUUACUGCGAAGGGGGGACGGAGAAGGCUAUGUUGGCCGGGCGACGGUUGUCCCGGUUUAAGCGUGUAGGCUGGUUUUCCAGGCAAAUCCGGAAAAUCAAGGCUGAGGCGUGACGACGAGGCACUACGGUGCUGAAGCAACAAAUGCCCUGCUUCCAGGAAAAGCCUCUAAGCAUCAGGUAACAUCAAAUCGUACCCCAAACCGACACAGGUGGUCAGGUAGAGAAUACCAAGGCGCUUGAGAGAACUCGGGUGAAGGAACUAGGCAAAAUGGUGCCGUAACUUCGGGAGAAGGCACGCUGACA
rnacentral:rRNA from 1 species